GUAUAGUAUCCCGCAAGGGAAGUGAACCCGGUGAACUGAAACAUCUAAGUAGCCGGAGGAAGAGAAAACAAAAGUGAUUCCGGGAGUAGUGGCGAGCGAAACCGGAUUAGCCCAAACCAGUGUUGUUUCGGCAAUACUGGGGUUGUAGGACCACGACAUUGAUUGCGUAAUGAAUUAGAACACUUUGGAAAGAGUGACCGAAGAGGGUGAUAGUCCCGUACAAGUAAAGAGCGUUAAUUAUAGUGGUAUCCUGAGUAGUGCGGGGCACGUGAAACCCUGUAUGAAUCAAGCGGGACCAUCCGUUAAGGCUAAAUACUCCUGAGAGACCGAUAGUGAACCAGUACCGUGAGGGAAAGGUGAAAAGAACCCUGAAUAAGGGAGUGAAAAAGAUCCUGAAACCAUACGCUUACAAGCGGUCGGAGCCCGUAAGGGGUGACGGCGUGCCUUUUGCAUAAUGAGCCUACGAGUUACUUUUACUAGCAAGGUUAAGCACUUCAGGUGCGGAUCCGUAGCGAAAGCGAGUCUGAAUAGGGCGACCAUAGUUAGUAGUAGUAGACGCGAAACCGUGUGAUCUACCCAUGGGCAGGUUGAAGCUUUGUUAACCC
rnacentral:rRNA from 1 species